GUCCACGCCGUAAACGAUGAAUACUAGGUGUUGGGGAGCAAAGCUCUUCGGUGCCGCAGCUAACGCAUUAAGUAUUCCACCUGGGGAGUACGUACGCAAGUAUGAAACUCAAAGGAAUUUACGGGGACCCGCACAAGCGGUGGAGCAUGUGGUUUAAUUCGAAGCAACGCGAAGAACCUUACCUGGUCUUGACAUCCCGGUGACCAUCUGAUGUAAUGUCGGACUUCCUACGGGACACUGGAGACAGGUGGUGCAUGGUUGUCGU
rnacentral:rRNA from 1 species